AUUAAAGAGAAAUGAAUAUCAUCAUUUUCCGCCUUGAUGCAUAAGUUUCCCUGACGUGUCCUUGGAGUCACAGAAGAAUUUGUUUACACAUUUUACCAUUAGUCAAAGGAUGGACAUUACCAGUUUGUCCUGUGGAAAUCUGCUUUCUGGGGACCAAGUCUGCAGUCAAGGGGAAGAAACAGAGGGAGAAAGCAUACUGGUUGAUUGCCUGAAAAGCUCUAAUAAGGAUGGUGCUGUGGAUUUCACUCAAGAGGAGUGUACUACAAAGGAUCCAACUCAGAACAUCAUACCCAGUGAUGUGACAGUGGAGGACUAUAAAAACCUGGUCUCUGUAGAAUUAGAAAAACAACUACAAACCAAAGAUUUAGCACUAGAGCAGAAUUUUUUGACAAGACAUACCUUCAUGGAGACUCAGCAGGUGGAUGCAGUGACCUUUGAAGAUGUGGCUGUGGACUUUACCCAGGAAGAGUGGACUUCACUGGAUCCUAUUCAGAGAAAUCUCUACAGAGAUGUGAUGCUGGAGAACUACCAGAACCUGGCCACAGUAGGAGGUCAGUUGUUCAAACCUAGCCUGAUCUCUUGGUUGGAGCGGAAAGUAGAGUUGACAGUAAUGGAGCAAGGAAUUCUCCAAGAAUGGGAACUGCACCUUCAGACAAAAGGGACAGCACUUCAGCAGGAUGUAUUUCGGUCCGAUGUGUCAAAUGGAGUGCAACUGGGAAGAGAACACAAGAGAGGGGUGCUUGGUGACUCUAUACAAGUUGGAACAGUUUUCAAUGAAGAUUCAUGCCCUGAGACUCACAUAAGUACUUCAAAUACAGAGAACACUUCAGAGUGUAAUUUGUAUGGAAAAGACUUUUUGCCACCACUUAAAGAAAAUUCUACCGAAGAGAACAUUCUUCAGUUGAACCAGUGUGUAAAACCCUUCACCGUGACUCCAGAUGUUUCCCAGAAAAUAUGCACUGUGGAAAAAUCCUUUGAAUGCUGCGAAUGUGGGAAAAUUUUCGUUAAUCAGUUAGAACUGCAGGCACAUAGUUCUUCUCAUAGUGAAAAGAAUCUUCACAAAUCAGAGCAGUGUGAGCAAGCUUUUACUCAUCCUAUAAGCCAUGACGAUCAUGUUGUAAUUCCCACUGAAAAAAAAUAUUAUGAAUGUAAGAAGUGUGAAAAAAUCUUUACACAUCCUAUCUACCUUAAUAUCCAUAUGCAAAGCCACACCUCGGAGAAGCCCUACGACUGUAAGGAAUGUGGGAAAGCCUUCACUGAGCGCUCGAGCUUAAUUGUACAUCUACGACAACACACGCGAGAGAAGUCUUAUGAGUGCAAGGAAUGUGGGAAAACCUUUAUUCAGCCCUCACGCCUUACAGAACAUAUGAGAAGUCAUACAGGAGAGAAACCAUAUCAGUGUGACCAGUGUGGGAAUGCCUUUGCAUCUUCUUCUUACCUUACUACGCAUUUGAGAACUCAUACUGGAGAGAAGCCCUUUGAGUGUAACAUAUGUGGGAAGGCAUUUACACGUUCUUCUUACCUGUUAGGUCACAUACGAACUCACACAGGAGAAAAACCCUAUGAAUGUAAAGUAUGUGGGAAAGCGUUCAGUGGCCGUUCUUGGCUUACGAUACACUUACGAAAACAUACUGGAGAGAGGCCCUAUCCAUGUACAGAAUGUGAGAAAGCCUUCACCAGCUUUGCUCAAUUAACUGAACAUAUAAAAACUCACACUGGUGAGAAGCCCUUCCGGUGUAAGGUAUGUGCAAGGACCUUCAGAAAUUCCUCAUGCCUUAAGACCCACUUUCGAAUUCACACUGGAAUAAAACCAUACAAAUGUAAUUAUUGUGGGAAAGACUUCACAGCACGUUCAGGCCUUACUAAGCAUGUACUAAUUCACAAUGGUGAGAAACCCUAUGAGUGUAAGGAAUGUGGGAAAGCCUUCAGUACAUCUUCUGGCCUUGUUGAACAUAUAAGAAUUCAUACAGGAGAGAAGCCCUUUGAAUGUUACCAGUGUGGGAAAGCCUUGGCUCAUUCCUCAUCUCUUGUUGGACAUUUAAGAACUCACACAGGAGAGAAACCCUUUGAGUGUAAUCAGUGUGACAAAACAUUUACACGAUCUUCUUAUCUUCGUAUUCAUAUGCGAACUCACACCGGAGAGAAACCAUAUGAAUGUAAAGAAUGUGGGAAAACUUUCCCUGAGCGCUCAUGCCUUACUAAACACAUAAGAACACAUACUGGUGAAAGGCCCUAUGAAUGUAAGGAAUGUGGGAAAGGCUUUAUUAGUUUUGCUCAACUUACUGUACACAUGAAAACUCACAGUUCUGAGAGACCUUUUCAGUGUAAGGUGUGCACAAAAUCCUUUAGAAACUCAUCAUCCCUUGAGACUCACUUUCGAAUUCACACUGGAGUAAAACCCUAUAAAUGCACUUACUGUGGGAAAGACUUCACUGCUCGUUCAGGCCUUACUAUACAUUUACGAAAUCACACUGGCGAAAAGUCCUAUGCAUGCCAAGAAUGUGGAAAAGCCUUUAGCACUUCCUCAGGCCUUAUUGCACAUAUAAGAAGUCACAAAGGAGAGAAACCAUUUGAAUGUGACCACUGCGGGAAAGCCUUUGCUUCUUCCUCUUAUCUUAAUGUGCAUUUGAAAAUUCACACUGGAGAAAAGCCCUUUCAGUGUACUGUAUGUGGAAAAACAUUUACAUGUUCUUCUUAUCUUCCCGUUCAUAUGCGGACGCACACUGGAGAGAAGCCUUUUCAGUGUAUAAUAUGUGGAAAGUCAUUUUUAUGGUCCUCGUACCUUCGAGUUCACAUGCGAAUUCACACUGGAGAGAAACCCUAUGUAUGCCAGUACUGUGGAAAAGCCUUUACAGAGCACUCAGGCCUUAAUAAACAUUUACGGAAACAUGCAGGAGAGAAACCAUAUGAAUAUAAGGAACGUGGGGAAGCCUUCACUACUUCUGAUGCUAAUAAACAUGAAAAUCCCCAUUGGGGGGAAAACCUUUGAAUAACAGGAAAAUGUUUUAGAAACAAUCCCAAACAUCUAAUAUAUCAACAGGAUUUGCUGAGGACGUAUUUCCUGAGACAUACAAAUGGACUCAGUGACCUUUGAGGAUGUGGCUGUGUACUUUACCAAAGAAGAGUGGAACUUACUAGAUGGAUUUCAGAGAAACCUCUACAGAGAUGUGAUGCUGGAGAACUACCAGAACGUGGCCACAGUAGAAAGGAAAAUGGAACUUGAGAAACUUCAGCUGGACAGUUUUUGGUCAGAUAUAUCAAAUGAGACACAACUGGCAAGAUUAACAAAGGCAGGAAGCCACAAUGGAGGGAAGCUCUGUGACUCUAAGAAGGUUGGAAAAUUCUUUAGUGAACGCCCAUGCCUUCAGACAUAUAUGAAUAUUUGCAAUACAGAAAAGAUUUCUGAAUAUAAUUGGCAUAGAAAAGACUUCCUUCCUUCAGUUAAGAAAACCUCUACUGAAGAGAAACUUUCUGUGUUUAUUCAGUGUGAAGAAGCCUUUGCUCAGACACCAAGCAUUGCUUACCAGAGGACAUGCAUUCAGGACAAUUCCUUUGAAUCCAGUGAUUUUGGCAAAUCCUUUGUUGAUAAUCAGUUGCAACUUAAGGCACACAGCAAAGCCCACAGUAAAGAAAAUCUCUGUGAAUGGGAGCAAAGUAAGAAAGCUUUUACUCAGUCCACAAAUUGUUCUGUUUUAGAGAAAUGCUAUGAAGAUAAGGAAUGUGGAAAAGCCUCUACAGCACACUCAGGCCUUACUACACAUGUAGGAAGUCAUAAAAGGCAGAAGUCUUAUAAGUGCACAGAGUGUGGGAAAGUGUUUGGGAAGUGCUCAGGACUUACUGAACAUGUGAGAAGUCACACAGGAGAGAAACCUUUUAAAUGUAACCAAUGUGGAAAGUCUUUUGCUUCUUCAUCCUAUCUUACUGCGCAUUUGAGAACUCAUACUGGAGAGAAGCCCUUUGAGUGUACAGUAUGUGAGAAAGCGUUUACACGUUCCUCCUACCUUCGAAUUCACAUGCGAACUCACACUGGAGAGAAACCCUAUAACUGUAAGGAGUGUGGAAAAACCUUUGCUGUGCGCUCGUGCCUUAAUAAACAUGCCCUAACACAUACUGGGGAGAAGCCUUAUGAUUGUAAGGAAUGUGAGAAGGCAUUUACUAGCUUUUAUCAACUAACUGAACAUAUGAAAAUUCACACUGAUGAGAAACCCUUUGAAUGUCAGGUGUGUACAAAAUCAUUUAGGAAUUCCUCAUGCCUUAAGAAGCACUUCCAAAUUCACACUGGAAUAAAACCAUUUCAAUGUAAGGACUGUGGGAAAGCCUUCAGUGGACGGACUAGCUUUACUACACAUGUAUUGACUCAUACUGGGGAGAAGCCAUAUGAGUGUAAGGAGUGUGGGAAAGCCUUCAGUACCUCCGCAGGCCUCAUUGAACACAUAAGAAGUCACACAGGAGAGAAGCCCUUUGAAUGCUAUCAAUGUGGAAAGGCCUUUGCAUCUUCCUCAUAUCUUACUGCACAUUUGAGAACUCACACUGGAGAGAAGCCAUUUGAGUGUACAGUGUGUGGUAAAGCAUUUACACGUUCUUCCUACCUUUGUAGACACAUGAAAACUCACAUUGGAGAGAAACCCUAUGUAUGUAAGGAUUGUGGGAAAGCCUUCAUUGAGUGUUCAUGCCUUAACAGACACAUAAGAACAUACACUGGAGAGAAACCCUAUCUGUGUUAGCAAUGUGGGAGAGCAUUCACCAGCUUUUCUUAACUCACUUAACAUAUGAAAACUCUUACUGGUGAGAAGCCUUUUGAAUAUCAGAUAUGUACAAAAAUUUUUAGAAAUUUGCAUGCCUUAAGAUGCACUUCUGAAUUAACUCUGCACUAAAAUUAUAUCAGUGUAAAGAGUGUGGAAAAACCUUUGGGGGCCACACUGGCUUUACUACACUUGCACUAACUCACAUUGGAGAAAAGCCAUAUGAAUUCAGAGAAUGUCAGAAUGCCUUCACUUCUUUCCUCACAUCUAACAUCUACGAAGUCACACAGGAGAGAAACCCUUUGAAUGUGACCUGUACUAUGUAUAUAAGAACUGUGGGAAAGCCUUUACUGAGCACUUAGCCAUUAGUAAACACUUAAGAACACAUGCUGUAGAGAAACCCCAUGAUUAUUAGGAAUUGAGAAAGAUUCUACUGUUCAUACUUCAGUGGAUAUACACUCUAAAUGGAAAGAAUAUGAAAAAGGCAUCAUUUAUUCUUCUGAUCAUAUGGAACAUAAAUAAUCACAGAGUGAAACUCAUGUAAAGAAUGAGGAAAGUGCACUAAGAAGUGUGCACAUUUGUGUAUGUACAUUAUUAAGCUCAGCACAGGUAGUCAGUUGUCCUAGAAAUGGCUUAACAGAUGUACUGCUUUUCUUGAGUUUGGUUCCCAUCACCCACGUCGGGCCACUCAUAACCAUCUGUAACUCCAGCUCUAGGGAGAUCUUAUGGCUCUGGCCUCUGUGGGUACUUGCAUUUGCAUGUGCCUCAUACACAGACAUACACAUAAUUAAAAAUGAAUCCUAAAAUACACGGGUACACGGGGCCUCACACUCAAGAAGACCCAUGAAUGUAGUGAACUUGGAAAAGUAACUGGAGUCUACGUACAGUCUGUCAAGUAGGAGACCAUACAGUGUAGCAUGGAAACUUGAUUAUUAUCUCAGGCUUUGCUAAGUAUGUGAACAACUGCAAUAGAGCAAAGCACUAUUGAUAUGUGAUAUGUGUAGCAGUUAUGUGCCUGGUAAGUAAUUUAAUGUUCACCUGUGAUCUCACAGUAGAGAAUAACUUUAAGAAAAGAAAUACUAGAACUAAAAAAAUGUAUUUCACUACCUUUGCUAAAUGUGAUUCACACAGAAGAUAAAUUACGUGUAUGGAUUAUGGCAAAUGCUUCCAUAUAUUCUCAAAUCCUGUGUGCUCACACAGCCAUGGAUUUUAGGUGUCUCUAUAGGCGUACUUUUAAUGUUUUGAAUACCUCAAUGUAUGUGUACUAAUCAUUUGUGUUGUGUUAGUUUUUGGGGGCAAUUGAAAUAAACAGCUAUUAACCCCAGGUAGGGCACUGAUAACAGAUCAAAGAAAUUAUUCCAUCCAAAUAGAGCUUGAUGAGCCACUGAACUUUUGGGGGUUACUUACAGGAACAAGGGUUAGGGGUUUCUGGUGGUUUGAAUAAGAAUGGCCCCAUAGUUGCAUAUAUUUGAAUGCUAGUCACCAGCGAGUGGCAUCAUUUGAGAAGGAUUUGAAGGUGUGACCUUGUUGGAGGAUGUGUUGGGGUAGGCUUUGAGAUUUCAAAAGCCUGUGCCAGACCCACUCUGGCACUCUGCCUAUGGAUCAAGAUAUAAAAUUCUCAGCUACUUCUCCAAUACCAUGUCUGUCAUCAUACUGCCAUACUGCCUGCCAUGAUGAUAAUGGACUGACCUCUGAAAAUGUAAGCCAGUCCCCAAUUAAAUGCUUUUAUAAGA